CUUCACUUCCUCCAGCGAUCAUAUCACCACAAAGUGGUGUAAUUCAUGUAAAUUUGGGCUCUCCAAAGGUGAUUGAUUGUAUAGCUCGCAUGUAUUCGGACUUUGAUGAGGUGUUCUGGUUUAGCACAGAUUCAUUAGUGGAAACAAACAGUAGCUUUCCCGUUUUCUACAAUUACACAAAUGAAAUAAAUGGUACAGAGAUAAAGAUGACGGCAUCUCUAGUUUUCAAAAAGGUGUCGGAUGAGGAUCUAUUAAAAAAUUACACCUGUAAACUGCAAACUAUUACUGGACCCUCAACAAGUGUCACCAUCAGCUUGUCCCAAAAACAAAAACCUGAACAUUCUCCAGCGAUCAUAUCACCACAAAGUGGUGUAAUUCAUGUAAAUUUGGGCUCUCCAAAGUGAAAUAAAUGGUACAGAGAUAAAGAUGACGGCAUCUCUAGUUUUCAAAAAGGUGUCAGAUGAGGAUCUAUUAAAAAAUUACACCUGUAAACUGCAAACUGUUACUGGACGCUCAACAUUUGUCACCAUUAGCUUGUCCCAAAAACAUUCCCCUUCUCAUGUUCCCCUGGCUCUUGGCAUUGUCGGCUUUGUGGUGAUGAUUUUGGCAGUAGUUGUCUAUGUGAGGUUCAAAAUGAUCAGUAUGCGUACAAAUCAGACUAUACUUAGGACAUAUUAAAAGUGCAAUUGUU